rnacentral:rRNA from 1 species
UACAGAGGGUGCGAGCGUUGUCCGGAAUCACUGGGCGUAAAGGGCGCGUAGGUGGCGACCCAAGUCCGUGGUGAAAGCUCGUCGCUCAACGACGAGUCGGCCACGGAGACUGGGUGGCUCGAGGCACUGUAGGGGCAGAUGGAAUUCCGGGUGUAGCGGUGGAAUGCGUAGAGAGUCCGGAAGAACACCGGUGGCGAAGGCGGUCUGCUGGGCAGUAGCUGACACUGAGGCGCGACAGCGUGGGGAGCAAACAGGA